GAUGAAGAACGUAGCGAAAUGCGAUACGUAAUGUGAAUUGCAGAAUUCAGUGAAUCAUCGAAUCUUUGAACGCAUAUUGCGCUCUCUGGUAUUCCGGAGAGCAUGCUUGUUUGAGUAUCAGUAAACACCUCAACUUCCAUAUCUUUUUUGAAAUGGGAGUUGGACUUGAGUGAUCCCAACGCUUUUCCUCACCGAAAAGUGGCGGGUUACUUGAAAUGCAGGUGCAGCUGGACUUUUCUCUGAGCUAUAAGCAUAUCUAUUUAGUCUGCCUAAAAAACAGAUUAUUACCUUUGCUGCAGCUAACAUAAAGGAGAUUAGUUCUUGUGCUGACUGAUGCAGGAUUCACAAAGACGGCUUCGGCCGACUUUGUAAACUCGAUCUCAAAUCAAGUAAGACUACCCGCUGAACUUAAGCAUAUCAAUAGCGGGGGA
rnacentral:misc_RNA from 1 species